rnacentral:rRNA from 1 species
CACUAUACCUGGAAUGGUUUGUGUUCCAAAUGAUUUAUCGCCGUAGGAUGGGACUGCGGCCUAUCAGUUUGUUGGUGAGGUAAUGGCCCACCAAGACUAUUACAGGUACGGGCUCUGAGAGGAGUAGCCCGGAGAUGGGUACUGAGACACGGACCCAGGCCCUAUGGGGCGCAGCAGGCGAGAAAACUUUGCAAUGUGCGAAAGCACGACAAGGUUAAUCCGAGUGGUUUCUGCUAAAGGAACCCUUUGUUAGUCCUAGAACCACUAACGAAUAAGGGGUGGGCAAGUUCUGGUGUCAGCCGCCGCGGUAAAACCAGCACCUCAAGUGGUCAGGAUGAUUAUUGGGCCUAAAGCAUCCGUAGCCGGCUCUGUAAGUUUUCGGUUAAAUCUGUACGCUUAACGUACAGGCUGCCGGGAAUACUGCAGAGCUAGGGAGUGGGAGAGGUAGACGGUACUCGGGAGGAAGUGGUAAAAUGCUUUGAUCUCUCGAUGACCACCUGUGGCGAAGGCGGUCUACCAGAACACGUCCGACGGUGAGGGAUGAAAGCUGGGGGAG